rnacentral:tRNA from 1 species
UUUACAGCAGUGUUUGGGCACGGGAAAUUUUGAUUUUCCCAGAAAGUGUGGGCUUCUGUAAGAU